rnacentral:misc_RNA from 1 species
AAAAAACACCAACAAAUGUACACAUCUCUCUCUUCCUAGCGGCUAAACCACAUCUCUCACUCUUAUAUAGAUUGCCAGUUAAAAAAGAACAAGGAAAGAUGACGAGCAGGGCAUGGCUAAUAGCAGCAAGCAUAGGAGUAGUGGAGGCAAUGAAAGAUCAAGGAUUGUGCAGAUGGAAUUAUGCCUUAAGAUCGUUUCAACACCA